CGGUGAUCUAGCCAUGGGCAGGUUGAAGGUUGGGUAACACUAACUGGAGGACCGAACCGACUAAUGUUGAAAAAUUAGCGGAUGACUUGUGGCUGGGGGUGAAAGGCCAAUCAAACCGGGAGAUAGCUGGUUCUCCCCGAAAGCUAUUUAGGUAGCGCCUCGUGAAUUCAUCUCCGGGGGUAGAGCACUGUUUCGGCAAGGGGGUCAUCCCGACUUACCAACCCGAUGCAAACUGCGAAUACCGGAGAAUGUUAUCACGGGAGACACACGGCGGGUGCUAACGUCCGUCGUGAAGAGGGAAACAACCCAGACCGCCAGCUAAGGUCCCAAAGUCAUGGUUAAGUGGGAAACGAUGUGGGAAGGCCCAGACAGCCAGGAUGUUGGCUUAGAAGCAGCCAUCAUUUAAAGAAAGCGUAAUAGCUCACUGGUCGAGUCGGCCUGCGCGGAAGAUGUAACGGGGCUAAACCAUGCACCGAAGCUGCGGCAGCGACACUGUGUGUUGUUGGGUAGGGGAGCGU
rnacentral:rRNA from 1 species